UGCUAAAAAUUCACCACCCUUCACUGGUUUUUUUCCCUAACACCUCUGCUCCCAAAUAAUCCUUCACAAAGUUGUUGAUCACAGAGGUAAUAUGAAGUCCACCAUCACCACCAAGUUAUUAAUUACACAGGUAAUCUGAAGUCCUUUUUAUUAACAUAAGAAAAAUGAAUUGAUCUGUAAACCAAUUCUAUAAAGCAGAUGAAUUAGUAAUUAAAACAAACAUGAUAUUUUCUUAUUUCAAUACUUUAAUCAAUUAAGGGCCACAAAUACAAUUCAAACAUAUCAUUUAUUAUCUCAUCCACAACUUGACAUAUCUUGAAUGAUCGAGAUGUGAGACUUAAUAUUGUGUUUGAGAAAUCAAAGUGUACCAUGUUUGAUUCAAAUUUUGGGGGUUUUAAGAAAGCGUUUGAUUCAGACCCGGUAACUUCAGAUACGACGAUCUUAUCAGACCCGGCCACUUCAGAUACAACCACUAUCAAGUUUGUCUGAUUAGGGUUACCAGAGCCCAGUUGGAACCCAAGUCGCUGCCUUUUCUCCUUGGCCUUUUCUCCUUCGUUGGAAGUUCGAACCCUAACUUGUUACUAACCUGCUCGAUCACCCUAGAUCGAUGCCAUGGUUGUUCCUUCACCGCAAAGUGGUAGUGGGUGGUGCAAUCUGGUGGUGAUGGUGGGGUGGGGUGGUGGAGAUCGUGUAGUGUGGAGAGAGAAAGGUAGAUAGAGGAAGAGUGGUGGCGGAAGGAGGCUGUGGUGGAAGGAGUUGGUGGUGGUGGACUGGUUGUAGAGAGAGAGAGAGAGAGAGAGAUGGAGGAAAGAGAGAGAGGGUUGUUUGUUAAGAGAAAGAAAGAGAUGAGUGAUAUACAAUUAUGCCCUCAUGUGCCUUCCACAUGAUUAAAUUUAACAGAAAGUUUCAACUGGGUUAGGGUUAAAGGACAAAGUUUGUAGUAUUUUGAAACAUUAAGUACAAAACUUGUAAAUUUUAAAGAUAAAGGACACCGCUUGCAAUUAGGUAUAGUGUCACACCCCCAAAAUCCACCUGCGGAGUAUCACCGCUUGGGAGCGUGACUGACCAGGAUCAAGCCACCAAUCAUAUCGAACAUGUAAUUAAUAUCA
rnacentral:lncRNA from 1 species